rnacentral:sRNA from 1 species
GCUCGUACGUAGUCCAAGAUGGUUAUGUUGUUUUCUCUUUUGUACGAUAUACUAGAUUUUAAUCCGCGGUAUAUCGUGGGACGAUAUAUUUUUUAAAAGUAAUAUAUAUUAAAUUUGCAAAUUUUAUUUUUAUAAAAUAUUUAUAUUUUACAGUUUAUAAUUGUUAUUAAGUAACGGUAUACCACGAAUCCAUGAGAUAAUUGUUAAAAAACUGAAGUUUUAACCCCUAUUAAAACAACAUAUUAAUA